rnacentral:rRNA from 1 species
AGAGUUUGAUCAUGGCUCAGAUUGAACGCUGGCGGCAUGCCUUACACAUGCAAGUCGAACGCGAAAGGGGGCAACCCCGAGUAGAGUGGCGAACGGGUGAGCAAUACAUCGGAACGUGUCCUGUAGCGGGGGACAACACAUCGAAAGAUGUGCUAAUACCGCAUACGAUCUACGGAUGAAAGUGGGGGACCGCAAGGCCCCACACUAUAGGAGCGGCCGAUGCCGGAUUAGCUUGUUGGCGGGGUAAAAGCCCACCAAGGCGACGAUCCGUAGCUGGUUUGAGAGAACGACCAGCCACACUGGGACUGAGACACGGCCCAGACUCCUACGGGAGGCAGCAGUGGGGAAUUUUGGACAAUGGGCGAAAGCCUGAUCCAGCCAUGCCGCGUGAGUGAAGAAGGCCUUCGGGUUGUAAAGCUCUUUCGGCGGGGACGAAAUAGCGCGGGGUAACAUCCCGCGUCGAUGACGGUACCCGAAGAAGAAGGACCGGCUAACUACGUGCCAGCAGCCGCGGUAAUACGUAGGGUCCAAGCGUUAAUCGGAAUUACUGGGCGUAAAGCGUGCGUAGGCGGUCUCGCAAGUCCGAUGUGAAAUCCCCGAGCUUAACUUGGGAACUGCGUUGGAAACUACGAGGCUAGAGUGCGGCAGAGGGGGGUGGAAUUCCAGGUGUAGCAGUGAAAUGCGUAGAGAUCUGGAGGAACACCGAUGGCGAAGGCAGCCCCCUGGGUUAGCACUGACGCUCAUACACGAAAGCGUGGGGAGCAAACAGGAUUAGAUACCCCCGUAGUCC